GAGUUUGAUCGUGGCUCAGAUUGAACGCUGGCGGCAUGCCUUACACAUGCAAGUCGAACGGCAGCAUGAUCUAGCUUGCUAGAUUGAUGGCGAGUGGCGAACGGGUGAGUAAUACAUCGGAACGUGCCCUGUAGUGGGGGAUAACUAGUCGAAAGAUUAGCUAAUACCGCAUACGACCUGAGGGCGAAAGUGGGGGACCGCAAGGCCUCAUGCUAUAGGAGCGGCCGAUGUCUGAUUAGCUAGUUGGUGGGGUAAAGGCCCACCAAGGCGACGAUCAGUAGCUGGUCUGAGAGGACGAUCAGCCACACUGGGACUGAGACACGGCCCAGACUCCUACGGGAGGCAGCAGUGGGGAAUUUUGGACAAUGGGCGAAAGCCUGAUCCAGCAAUGCCGCGUGUGUGAAGAAGGCCUCGG
rnacentral:rRNA from 1 species